GCAGCAAAAGCUGCGUUUCUGUUACUGAACAGCUCGUCUAGCGAGAAGCAUCAUCGCCUAGCGAGGACAGCAGCGUGCUCUGCCUGUGUGUGUUGUUCUUUCCCCUAUCCAACCAUUCUUGAUCAUAGCUUCACAUUGAGUAGGGUACUGUGCUCCCCCCCCCCCCCCCCCAAAAAAAAGAGACUGCAGCUAUUUAGGAGCGAGGCCGGGUUUCUCUCUUAUUUGACGUUGUACAUUGUUUAGCUUAAGUUUUGGUAAGUUGCUAUAUAGGAGCUCUUAGAUCUUGCGAACUGUCUUGAUUUUGAUGACAAUAUUAGUGAUGCAAUUUAGGAAAGGGAUGUAUAGUAUGGUGCUAUUGUACAUAUGUGAUUUGAAUUUAAUAAGUAUUAGGCUUUGGCAUUUUAGUGUGGUGAACUAUCUUGAUUUAGGAAGGGAUCUAGGUAUGUGUGAAGUUAUUGUAUGGUGAAUUGUUUUGAUAUUAAUUUUGGAUGUUGAAUGGUACAUAUUAGCAUUGUUAA